rnacentral:rRNA from 1 species
UACGAAGGGGGCUAGCGUUGCUCGGAAUCACUGGGCGUAAAGGGUGCGUAGGCGGGUCUUUAAGUCAGGGGGGAAAUCCUGGAGCUCAACUCCAGAACUGCCUUUGAUACUGAAGAUCUUGAGUUCGGGAGAGGUGAGUGGAACUGCGAGUGUAGAGGUGAAAUUCGUAGAUAUUCGCAAGAACACCAGUGGCGAAGGCGGCCCGCUGGGCAGGAAGGCUCGCAAGAGCCGGCUGACGCUGAGGCGCGACAGCGUGGGGAGCAAACAGG